AGCAACUAAUAUUCUGAUAUGUUAACUUUUUUUAUUCUUUGCAGAGCUGCAUGCUACCAGUAUCUCAUAGGCCUUGAGGACUAAAUGAGACACCUAGCUUACCUUUUUUUUAUGGAUGCUGAUAGUAAAGUUCUUGUUACUCAUUCCGAGUUUAUGACCUUGACCUUUGCACUAUUAUAAUGGUAUUGCAUGACAAGGGUGUCAAAAAGCUUUUUACAGGAAGGGUGUCAUCAGUUUCAUCCAAGCCCCAGGCUUCCUGUGAGUUUUCUGGCAUGCCCAGAUUUGCUCAGGAAUCUCUACGCUUUGCACGACUAUAGACGUGAGCUGGUACACGCACCUGAUAUGGUGCAGGACUACAGAUGAACCAGCUUGGCUCAUGAAACAGAGUUCUCUUGAGUAUUGCAUUACCUCAUCAGGCACAUCACAGUAUGUUAUUCCAGGUACCUGUGGAAAACUGAGGCCAUCAAGAAAGCAGAUCCUUCACAAGACAUGAAGAGUGAUUGUGGAACUGGUGUUCUGCCAACAGUUACAGAUAAACUUCCACUUGUACUCAGCAGAAAUAUAGGACAAGGGCAAGGCUUUAUACCUGCUGCAGAGUUGCAUCCAGGGAGGAAGGAAAUACUAACUUAGGAUGUCUGCCGUCUCCUUGACUACUCAGUCCUCUACUUCUCUGAGGGAUCAGUCUAUACUUCUACAACGUCAACUUUCCGAUCUUCUGUUUGCUGAAGUACCUUUGACAGGAGUAAGAUUAUCCCUGUUUUUAUUUUUGUGAUUCUUUUGAGUUUCUUACAGAACCUGAGUAGUUCACUGAGUUCUACCAUAUAUGAAGGUCAAACACAGGAACGUAUGCUACAGAAAUGGAUUUUAGUUUUCAUUGAAAUUCACAUUUCUAGUCAACCUCAGUUCACUACUAAAGCAUUUUGGUUUCCUUUGUUACCUAGAUUUUCUUGUUCUUUUUAAAUGAUUGAAGCGUUGGUGGAAUCCUGGCCUCAUUGCAGCACUGCAAAAUGUGCAGACAGCCACGCUGAAGAGGGCCGAAGUUGUUUGAAGUUCAAAUGAAAGCAGUUUGGGUAGCAUAGUUGGCUUACUGCAGCCUUCUCAACUGUUUACUUCAGAAAGCCAUGUAACCGAUAUGGAAAAAAACAAACCAAAAUAAAAAAAGCUCCACAUUCAUCACCUUGUACAAUGUAACCACAAAGCUUUUG